GCUUAAUAUAUCGAACAGUCACCCGCUGGUGGCGUGCUACGCUAUACGCGUAGAUAGAUAUAUUAAGCUAUU
rnacentral:ncRNA from 12 species